GAUGAACGCUGGCGGCGUGCCUAAUACAUGCAAGUCGAGCGAACGGACGAGAAGCUUGCUUUUCUGAUGUUAGCGGCGGACGGGUGAGUAACACGUGGAUAACCUACCUAUAAGACUGGGAUAACUUCGGGAAACCGGAGCUAAUACCGGAUAAUAUUUUGAACCGCAUGGUUCAAAAGUGAAGGACGGUCUUGCUGUCACUUAUAGAUGGAUCCGCGCUGCAUUAGCUAGUUGGUAAGGUAACGGCUUACCAAGGCAACGAUGCAUAGCCGACCUGAGAGGGUGAUCGGCCACACUGGAACUUAGACACGGUCCAGACUCCUACGGGAGGCAGCAGUAGGGAAUCUUCCGCAAUGGGCGAAAGCCUGACGGAGCAACGCCGCGUGAGUGAUGAAGGUCUUCGGAUCGUAAAACUCUGUUAUUAGGGAAGAACAUAUGUGUAAGUAACUGUGCACAUCUUGACGGUACCUAAUCAGAAAGCCACGGCUAACUACGUG
rnacentral:rRNA from 1 species